UGUAAAUACAUGCAGCAAUCAGAUGCUCCAGAUUAUUUGAAGCAUGUGGAGACAAGAUUGCAAGAGGAACAUGAUAGAUGCCUGAUCUACUUGGAAGCGAGUACUAGGAAGCCGCUGAUAGCCACAGCAGAAAAGCAACUUCUUGAACGCCAUAUACCUGCCAUUCUUGAUAAGUUUGACCACAGUAUAAGUGACAAUAUUGGUAAAACU